rnacentral:tRNA from 1 species
UGAAGUAUAGCCAAGUGGUAAGGCCUCCGUUUUUGGUACGGAAAAUCAAAGGUUCGA